GAUGAACGCUAGCGGCAGGCUUAAUACAUGCAAGUCGAACGGUAACAGGUCUUCGGACGCUGACGAGUGGCGCACGGGUGAGGAACACGUACACAAUCUACCUUAUACUGGAGAAUAGCCCCGGGAAACUGGGAUUAAUACUCCAUAGUCUUUAAUGAUCACAUGAGAAAUAAAGUAAAGCUUCGGCGGUAUAAGAUGAGUGUGCGUCCCAUUAGAUUGUUGGCGAGGUAACGGCUCACCAAGUCGACGAUGGGUAGCUGGCGUGAGAGCGCGACCAGCCACACUGGCACUGAGACACGGGCCAGACUCCUACGGGAGGCAGCAGUAGGGAAUAUUGGUCAAUGGACGAAAGUCUGAACCAGCCAUGCCGCGUGGAGGAUGACUGCCCUCUGGGUUGUAAACUCCUUUUAUACAGGAAGAAACAACUCUACGUGUAGAGUCUUGACGGUACUGUAGGAAUAAGGAUCGGCUAACUCCGUGCCAGCAG
rnacentral:rRNA from 1 species